UCGAUAGUCUCCUAAAUCCUGAUGCCUGGAUCAACGAUUGCCACUGGGACCAAAAGUGCCUGAAUCUGCAUACAAGGUGUAGAGGUUAACAUAAGUACGCCAACUCAGUAAGUAACGAAUCCAAACUAUAGACUGAAAGGUAGUGACGAACUCAACCGCAACAGAAAUAAUAGAAAUAUAUGUGCAAAAACGUAGGCAUGCUUUCAAUUUUAUAGACAGCUGAAACAAUAAGAUAGAGCAGAUACGAACAAGAUAGAGAAUAUAACUCUGCUACAUCUACAUGCCAAUGCACAUGAUGUAUGUGAUGCACCAUGCUGAAUAUUUCAUGUUCUCAAACUCUCAAAUACUUAUCCACUUAGUACUGUAUAUGGCUCAUACGGCUCAGGGAAGACCUAUCCCGGAUUAUAUACAUCUUUGACAACAGUCAAUCAAUACUAAGGAAGACCAAUCCAGCCCUAUGGAGAAGAUCCAUCUCCAGGUAAUAAUAAUAUCCUCACAACCACUCGGUACCGUAUAUGGCACACACGGCCCAGGGAAGAUCCAUCCCGGAAUAUAUACAUCAUAGACCAUCAAUCUCCAGUACCAAGGACAUAGGCCAAUCCGUCCUCAUGGAGAAGAUCCAUCUCCAAUAUUAAUAUUAAUUGCGCUCACUGAAGUGUGUACAGACUUCGGAGGGGCUCCUUGAACCCAACCAUUAUCACAAAUCAAUAUAACCGCUGCGGCGUGCAACCCGAUCCCAUAACUGUCACAGAUAAUUAGGCUCUCAACCUCACUAAGUCAUCACUCUCCAGUCUCACCCACGGGCUCACAAUGCCAUAAAAACUAGCCCGGAACAAUGAUAUGAUGUGCCAAUAAAUAACAACUGAGACUGAGAUAUGAUAUGAAAUGCAUGAAUAUGAUUGAGUGCAAAAUAUCAAUGAAUCGGUGAUAUGAUAGAAAGAAAUGACCAAUAGGGGUCCCAACAGUAUCGGCGUACAACCCUAACAUGAUAUCUAGCAUGAUUUACAACUCAUUUACUUUAUCGCAUAAUGGAAACACGGAUAUCAACAAGAAAGAGUCACUAAAUAGUGCCAUGGAAUGAACCAGGUCACGAUUCUCAUGGUGCACGCUCGCACACCCAUCAGUUGGCAUGUGCGUCACCUCAAUACUAACCAUAUAACACGUGGUUCGGGGUUAAUAACCCUCAGAAUCAAGUUUGAAAGCUUUACUUACCUCAAAUCAAGCAAAAUUCCUACUCCACAAUGCCUUUGCCUCUCAAAUCGGCCUCCAAGCAUCCCGAAUCUAGCUACAAGCAACACAAUACGUUCAAUAUAGGCUAAAGGAACAAUUUCCUCAAGAAAAAUACUAAAUUAUAACCGAAAUUCGAAAUCGGCUCAAAUCCGGCCCCUGUGCCCACGUCUUGAAAUCUGACAAAAGUCACAAAACCCGAAAUCCCAUUCAUUCAUGAGUCUAAUCAUAUUAAAUUCAUCAAAAUCCGAUAUCAUUUGCCCUUCCAAAAUCCCACAAUUCACUAUCCAAAUUCCCAAACACUAACUCCCAAUUUCACUUCAAAACCUCACUAAUUAAGUGGGAAAUCCACAAAAAAACACCAUUGCUAAGGGUAGUUAGGGUCAAGAAACUUACCUCGGUGAUAAACCUCGAAUCCCCUUCAAAAAUCUCUUCAAAAUCUCCAAAGUCCGUGUUCAAAAAUGUGAAAAUAAGAAGAAUUCCCGAAGUUCUCUAUUUAUAUUUUCUGCCCAGCAAAACUGCACCUGCGGUACAAAUUACGCAUCUGUGGGUACGCAUCUGCGGAUGAAGCUCCGCUUUUAUGGAAAAACACUUAAAGCACUGCGAUCGCUUCUACGACUAAAGACCGCAUCUGCAAUCAUCGCGGGUGCGGAAACUACCUCGCACUGCAGCUCCAUCUCGCAGCUGCGCCUAGCUGCUCGCAUCUACGACUCUCGCAGAUGCGGGAAUAUCUUCGCACCUGCGGACUUUUCCCAACUCCUUCUUGGGUGCAUCUGCGGUUCUUCAAUCGCUCCUGCGGGUUCCCCACCGCAGGUGCGGAAACACCAGAUGCAGCAGCUUCAGCUGCAUUUCUUCAACUCCAAACCUUCCGUUAACCAUCGAAAAUCACCACGAGGCCCUCGGGACCUCAACCAAACAUACCAACGUGUCUCAUAACAUCAUACGGACUUAGUCGAACUUUCGAAUCACUCAAAACAACAUCGAAACGCCAAAUUACACUCGGAUUCAAGCCUAAAAACCUCUAAACUUUCGAAUUCCACAAACGAUGCCGAAACCCAACCAAACACGUCGGAAUGACCUCAAAUCUUGCAAGUCAGAAAUGACACCAGGAACCUACUCCAACUUCUGGAAAUCCAAUCCGACCCCGAUAUCAAAAUUUUCACUACCGACCAAAAUCACCAAAAUUCCAACUUUCACCAAUUCAAGCCUAAUUCUAUUACGGACCUCCAAAUCACAUUCCUGACGUGAUCCUAAGUUAAAAAUCACCUAACGGAGCUAACGAAACCAUCAAAAUUCAAAUCUGAGGUCGUUUAGACAUAAGUCAACAUCCGGUCAACUUCCCAGCUUAAACCCCUCAUAAAAGACUAAGUGUCUCAACUCACUCCGGACCCGAACCAACUAACCCGGUAAGUCAAAAUACAGCUUCAGAACACAAAAGAAGCAGAAAAUAGAGGAACGAGGCUGUAACUCUAGAAACGACCGGCCGGGUCAUUACAUUUUAAUUCUAGCACUUAAUGAUAAAAGUCUAUAAAAAGAAAAGAUAGAAUUUGUACUCCUUUAAAAAUAUUUGUUUCUAUAUUUUCAGGUCCACUUCUAAUGACACAUAUUUUUCCUUACAUUAUAAAAAGAUAUGUCAUCUUAUUUAAUAUUAUUAACUAAUGAAUUAUCAAUGAAGAAAAAUUAAUGCAAUUGUUUUUGUUAUUCACAAGUUGAUCAGGUUUAAAUAUAUUUUCAACUUUUUCCCUCCUUAAAUUUAACGUUAAGAAAUUACCAAAAUGUUCCCUAUAAGUUCAUGUGCUACAAAUAAGCCUACUUAUCAUAUGCUAAAAAUAUUUUAUUAUAAAUUUUAAAUUAGAAUAUGAGGAAUAAACAACACACAAACACAAAGAAAAAGCAAAUUGAUGAAAUAUUGGUUAUAUUUUUACUCUUUUUUUCUUUGAUGUUUAAUUCGAACAAAUUAAAUUUAAAAUUAGAUGGUUAACUCGGAAAUGCAAUAAUUUUUAUUGAAUAAAGAUGCAUAUGAAAUUCUUAUUUUUGAAUAUAUUAUUUAAAUGAAUAUGAAUGGUUUUACAAAACAAUUGGAGUAAUACAGUUAAGGAAAUAUUUUUGUAAUUAGGUGGUGGGCCCAUGCUCAGCAUGGACCAUCCCUCGUCUAGUUAACUUAAUAGAAGGGAGGAAUAUGGAGAAAAGUCCUUCCUGCAUUGCUUCUUGAUAGUAGCCUUCCAGGAUUAGAAUCGGCUCCCUUCUGUUAAUUAUUUGAUAGACUUAGAUUUUCUUUUUAUCUCAACACUUUUUCUUAUUACACCAUCACUUUUUUCAUGCACACUACAAUACUUUCCUAUACACAAUCACUUUCUUGCUAAUUUAUAAUCACAAAUAUGACAAUAAAUAAUACACUUUAAUAAUAUGAUUUUAAUAUUAAUUGCAUAUACUCCAACAUUACUUGAAAAAAGGUUUAACAUUUGUCAAUGAAAAUUAAUAUUUCAGUUGAAAUGCUGCUCAAAUAAGUUUAUAAUAGUUAUCCGUAUUUUAAGUGAAGUUAAGCAUUGGCUAAAUAAAUACCUGCAAAUAUUAAACUUUAUCACUUACAAAUAUUCUAUCGUGAUUUUAUAAGAGCAUUUGAGUACCUUCUGGAUAAGAUGGUUGAGCUUGCCUUUAUGAGAAGGACAAACGAGGUUCCAAUCAAAAUUAUAAUAUUGGACAAAGCAGUUCGCAUUUAUUUGGUCCCUGUUUAGCUGUUUUUCUACGUCUAACACAUGGCAAAGCCUUUUCCAUGUGCAACUUUGAUCUACUGGCGUGUAUGUGAAUAGUUCACGAUUUGUAUUUUAUGUGGUAAUAGUUAUGAUCGAAUACUUUGUUUUCAAAUAACUAUGUGAUUUCUAUGGUAUAUUUAUGACUAGUUGAGCCUGUCCGAGCACUCGGGCCCCACAAUUCUAAUUAUAAUAUUCAUUCACUAUAAGUACUCAAAUAUCUUUUAUUCCUCUUAAUAAAAAGGAAAUUCUUCAACCUAGAAGUUUAGAUAUUAUGUGACAAAUUCUUUCCUACCUAUUAUGAUUCAUAGUAUUUUCGAAUUCUUUAAAAAAAAUGAAAUUUAUGAAAUGAAAAAUUAAGAAACAAUUGACGUCUACACAUAAUAACAACAAUAACCAAGACUGAACUUCUUGCCAGAAUAAAUUUGAAAACAAUAUUACAAAUCCUCAAUAUAGAAGUCAAAAAUUUGAAAACAAUAUUGCAAAUCCUUAAUAUUUAACCGCGUGUUACCAGAAGUUAAGCAAACAUUGAAAUAGUGAAGACCCAUAUCCUAGAUAUGAAAUGGUGAAAUAGUGAACCCUCUUUCUGCUCUUCACUCUUUCAGUGAAGCUCUUUGUUUUGGUGAUUUUUUCCUGCAAUCUCUCUUUGUUUGUAGAUUUUGGCAGCUUCUAGAUAUAGCUCUGCUAAAAUCUGUGAGAUCUGCCAUUGUUGAACGAGCUACAAGCUCAAUUCUCUUCCUGUGAAAUACAGAGCAUAUGAACGAGAGGGUGAAGAAGAGGAGAAAAUAUCUGAAAAUGUUAACUUGCUCUAUUCAUUUACAAUGUAAUGUGUAUAUAUACAGGUUUUACUCUACUAAGCUGGAAUCAUUAAUUUACGGUUGUCACACUAGCUAACUAAGCUCCACUCACUAACUAUAACGACCUUAUCUAACUAAUGGAAAUGAACUAACUACUUCUUAACAGUAACACCUUGUAAUAAGCUCCAAUACUACCUUUGUUAUAAACAAAUUUACCGAUAUAUACCGGACCACUUUUUUUGUAAGUGUGUGUGAGCCAUUAAAUUUAUAAUUGCGGUAUACCAGAUAAUCAUGUGAUAAGCAUAAAUUUAGACGUACAGAGCACUAUAAAUUUUUUUUAAAAAUCUAAUGGUGAACUUUGCUUCUACUGAUGCCAAUUCAUCACAAAUACACUACCAACAGUGUAGGAGACAAUAUUGGUAAAGGUCAUC
rnacentral:lncRNA from 1 species